rnacentral:rRNA from 1 species
GACGAACGCUGGCGGCGUGCUUAACACAUGCAAGUCGAACGGUGAAGCGCCUUCCUUUUUGGUGGGUGUGGAUGAGUGGCGAACGGGUGAGUAACACGUGAGUAACCUGCCCCCUUCUUCUGGAUAACCGCAUGAAAGUGUGGCUAAUACGGGAUAUUCUGGGUCUGUCGCAUGAUGGGUCUGGGAAAGAUAUUGUUUCGGUGGGGGAUGGGCUCGCGGCCUAUCAGCUUGUUGGUGGGGUGAUGGCCUACCAAGGCGGUGACGGGUAGCCGGCCUGAGGGGGGGGGGGGCCCAAGGGGGGCGGAGGGCCGGCAGGGCCUCCGGGGGGGGGAAGGGGGGGGGAAUAGGGCACGGGGGGGGAGAGCGUGGGGCGGCGGGCCGGGGGGGGGGGGGGGGCUCUGGGGGUUGGGACCUUUUUGCGGGGGUGAAGGGGCCCGGCCGGUUGUGGGGGGGGUUUGAGGGUAGCUGAAAAAGAGGCCCCGGCUAACUACGUC